rnacentral:rRNA from 1 species
UACGUAGGGUGCGAGCGUUAAUCGGAAUUACUGGGCGUAAAGCGUGCGCAGGCGGUUUGUUAAGCCAGAUGUGAAAGCCCCGGGCUCAACCUGGGAACUGCGUUUGGUACUGGCAAGCUAGAGUACGGCAGAGGGGGGUGGAAUUCCACGUGUAGCAGUGAAAUGCGUAGAGAUGUGGAGGAAUACCGAUGGCGAAGGCAGCCCCCUGGGAUGAUACUGACGCUCAUGCACGAAAGCGUGGGGAGCAAACAGG